AUGGCCUACUAUUCAGAUCACCAUGGAUAUGCGAGCAACACUACAAAUAGCACGGAAAGUAUUCAAGAACUGAUAAGUAAGAUUUCCCAUCGAUUAGAUGAUUUAGCUUGGCAGCGAGAAGUAGUUUUUGAGGAUAGGCCUAGCUCUUAUGAUCCUUAUUCUAGAGGCCAUCCUUAUGUUGCUCCUACCUGCCAUAUUUGUGGAUUUCAGGGCCAUUCGCCCCCUGAAUGUCAGUGUGGUUACUCUUGCCCUCUAGAUUGUUUUGGCAUGAGCUUUGCUCAAGAGCAUAGCUCAUACCAAAACAAUUACUCACAUGGGUGGCCUGAAAACCCGAAUAUGUCAUAUAGGAGCAACAACCCUGAGAUCUCAUCAUUUCCCUCUAGUUAUCCAAUGCAAGGAUUUAGGAAUGAAGAGGAGAGCAACAAUUAUGCUCCACAACAAUUUUAUUCUGCUCCUAUUCAUAUACCUCAGCACCAGGAGAUGUUGCCAAUGGAGUUAAAUGGUCCUCCAUUUGGUCAACCAACACCUUCUACACAAGUGCCCACACAAGAUGACUUUGCUGAUAUAGACAAGCUCACAUUGCUUAGUCUCGAGUUCACUUGGAGUGCUGAAGAUGAUCCAAUUAGGCUGGUGAUACUAGAUGAAAUGAAGAAGAUCAAGAGUGGGAAUGAGCUAGUGGAAGAAGUAAGGAAGAUUGAGAAGAACAUCAAUGCUGGCAGCACUAUUUCUUCGCAGCUAGAGCUGAGUAUUUCUGGGAUAUCCCUUGAUACAUGUGAGGUCCCAACACCUUCACAUUCAGCUGAGCAAUAUAGCGAGAGUCCAGAGGAAGAGAUACUUCAGAUCCAAGAAGAAAUUCUCAAAGCCAAGGCACAAGAUGAUCCAGAGCUCGAAUACCCAAAUGAACAAGUUGAAGAUCCAAUGUCUACUACUUCCGAAGAAGUAAAAGAAGCUGUUGUAGAUGAAGAUGAAGAACCUGAGAUUCAUUUGCCUAUUGUCAUACAAGAGAGUGAUGUGUCAGGUUCGAGGUGA
rnacentral:rRNA from 1 species